rnacentral:rRNA from 1 species
GACGAACGCUGGCGGCGUGCUUAACACAUGCAAGUCGAACGGAGAGGCCCUGCGUUCGUGCGCUGCUCGAGUGGCGAACGCGUGAGUAACACGUGUGUAACCUGCCCUUGACUUUGGGAUAACUUCAGGAAACUGGGGCUAAUACCGUAUAGGAUCUCCUGCAGCAGGGUGGGGGUUGGAAAUUUGCGGCGGUUGGGGAUGGAUGCGCGGCUUAUCAGCUUGUUGGUUGGGUAGUGGCUUACCAAGGCAUAGACGGGUAGCCGGCACGAGAGGGUGACCGGGGACAUGGGGCCUACGGUACGCAGCAGACGCGUACAGGAGACAGUAGUGGGAAGUAUGACCCAACGGGCCGGAGCCUGAGACAAAGGCGCCGCGUGCGGAAAGCCGGCCUUCGGGGUAAGAACAGCUUUAGGUUGUGACGCAGCGUUUGUGACGGUAAUGAGUAAAGAAGCACCGGCUAACUACGUG